rnacentral:misc_RNA from 1 species
GAACAAAAAAAAAAAAAAAAUUCGGGACAUUUCUGAAUGGAUCACUAAAGCCAUUCCAAAUGACUCUUGGAUGCCAAAUUUCAAUUCUUUUUGUAGAUUAUGCUUGGAAUUGAUAAUGUGAGCAGCUGCUGCCAAGUUUUCUUUCACUAGAAAAUUGGAAGAUACAAUGUUCAUUUCAUGGCUUCAAACUGUAUAAGAUGAUUGGAUCACAUUCAAGUCCAGAUUCUUGAGCCUUGCUACUGAUUCCAUAUGUCCUCUCAAGGUGUGAAUCUCCCCAAGCCUGGCUAUUUCAGCGCGCCGCUUGGCUUGUUCAGCAAUCAAAGAGGAUCGCCUGCCAUUAAACUCCAGGUCUGCAGCCAUCAUACCUUGCAGACUCCUCUGGGACAGAAUCCACUUAGCUGCUCUAUCUUCCUUUCCGUAAUCUUUCUUUGAAGUAAAAGCAGUCUUUCUGUCAAAUAAGAGAUUCCAUGCCUCUCCGCUCAAGGCGUAACGAACUGUGAACUUGAUAAUAUCCAGGGGAAUGUAGAAAAUCAAACUAUAUAACCAAAUAACACCAGCCCAUCCCCAUCCAAUGCCGCUAAUAUCAGCAAAGCUAAUAUGUGCAUAUACAGCAAUUAAGGUAGCCACCUGCAAAAGGACAAUUAAAAAAAUAAAAAUCAUUCAGUGUAGUUUGAUUUGAAAAUACACUUUAGGAUUAUGAUUCAAGUGGAGAAAUGCCAAUAUCAGAUUAAAGAUUUGGCUUCAACAUGCAAUUCCAGAAGAAAAGAUUUUGUAGAACACUAUAGAAUGGAAUCCUUUAUUGGAGCAUUGAUUGACUAAAACUUAUCAGUUGAGCCACCACAAAUGCACACAUCAAGAGAACCCCAGGCCUCUCCAUAAACGACCAACUUUGACUACGCGUAACAAAUAUGAGAGCCUGGCCGAUGAUGCUGACUUGCAGAUAUACAGCAGAGGAAACUUCUUCAGUAUUGCUAGACAGAGAUCUUACAUGGAAGGUUCUCUCAAAGAAAUUAGUGCCAAUCAAAAGCCAGUAAAACAGGACUGUAACCAAAGCAAGGUAUGUCCCAAUGACAAUGCCAGUUGCAAAUAUCUCAGGGAGCUUCCAACUGUCAGGCCUUGGAGAUGGCUUAACCCGAUCUUGAGAAAUAGUCAUAAUAGUACCUAAUUACAGCACACAGGAACAAUCUUCAGUGCAUUCUUAUGAAAAGAUUUUUUUUUUUAAUUACAGUUUCAAGAGAUUCCUUAAUCAAAUUCUUUUGACAAGAAUCAUACAGCUGAUAUGAAUAUAAUCCGAUGAUCUGCCACUUGGUAUUGAAAUUUGAUCCAUGUUAACUAGAAAAGAACUGUAAGGGUUGGCAUGGUUCGAAACAUUACCAUCAUUGAGUAUUGCUAUGAUCAGAACCAUGAAAGGAGGGAAGUCAUAUUCCCAUAUCAGGGCAAGAAGCACAAAACCAAGCACAAUACGAAUUGUUAUCGAAACAGCAUAUAUCUGCACAUUGCAUACAGUAUUAUCAGUUUACCUUUUCUUUUUCCUUUUUGUUUUUUCCAUUAAAUGAAUUCAAUAUGUAUAUAUUUCGAUUGAUACUUCACCGUAUAGUUCUUCAUUCUUUGGAAUAUAGCUCUGCUAGUUAAGACAGCACUAACUAUCACACUUAAGCCAGGCUCCGUUAACACCAAAUCUGCAGCACUUCUUGCAGCAUCUGUAGAAUCUGCCACUGCUAUACCAAUAUCUGCUUUCUUUAAGGCAGGAGCAUCAUUUACACCAUCUCCAGUCAUCCCAACCACAUGCUUCUUUUCUUGUAGGAUUUUCACAAUCUCAUAUUUGUGUUCUGGGAAAACACCAGCAAAGCCAUCUGCCUUCUCA